rnacentral:rRNA from 1 species
GAUGAACGCUGGCGGCGUGCCUAAUACAUGCAAGUCGAGCGAACAGACGAGGAGCUUGCUCCUCUGACGUUAGCGGCGGACGGGUGAGUAACACGUGGAUAACCUACCUAUAAGACUGGGAUAACUUCGGGAAACCGGAGCUAAUACCGGAUAAGAUAUUGAACCGCAUGGUUCAAUAGUGAAAGACGGUUUUGCUGUCACUUAUAGAUGGAUCCGCGCCGCAUUAGCUAGUUGGUAAGGUAACGGCUUACCAAGGCAACGAUGCGUAGCCGACCUGAGAGGGUGAUCGGCCACACUGGAACUGGGCCACGGUCCAGACUCCUACGGGAGGCAGCAGUAGGGAAUCUUCCGCAAUGGGCGAAAGCCUGACGGAGCAACGCCGCGUGAGUGAUGACGGUCUUCGGAUCGUAAAACUCUGUUAUUAGGGAAGAACCAAUGUGUAAGUAACUAUGCACGUCUUGACGGUACCUAAUCAGAAAGCCACGGCUAACUACGUG